rnacentral:rRNA from 1 species
UGUUAACCGAGUCAUAGUCAAGCUUAGGCUUGGUAUCCUAUUAUUAUUUACCAAAAGAAUUCAGAAUUAAUAUUGUAACAUAGACGUAAAAAAUCUAUAAAACAACUUUUAACAACGGAUCUCUUGGUUCUCGCAUCGAUGAAGAACGUAGCAAAGUGCGAUAACUAGUGUGAAUUGCAUAUUCAGUGAAUCAUCGAGUCUUUGAACGCAACUUGCGCUCAUUGGUAUUCCAAUGAGCACGCCUGUUUCAGUAUCAAAACAAACCCUCUAUCCAACAUUUUGUUGAAUAGGAUGACUGAGAGUCUCUUGAUCCUGCCUGGGUCUUGAACCUCUUGAAAUGUACAAAGGCCUGAUCUUGUUUAACAGCCUGAACUUUUUUUUAAUAUAAAGAGAAGCUCUUGCGAUAAACUGUGCUGGGGCCUCCCAAAUAAUACUUUUUUUAAAUUUGAUCUGAAAUCAGGUGGGAUUACCCGCUGAACUUAAGCAUAU